CUUCAAGUAAACCUGGAGAGAGAACGCUUUGAAAGUAUGAAAGGCCUGGUUGUUUUUUUGGCAGUGAUGCCAUGGAUCACACUUGCUGCACCUAACGAGCCAGGGGUUCACUUCUUUGUCACGCUGCCCAAGGUGAUAAAAGGCACUCUGGAGACCAUCCGCUACACUCAAGUUGAGUUGAAUGAGGGAAACGCAUAUAAAAUUUUAACUGGCAAUUUUAUUGCCCCUGUCAAUGGUAUCUACCAGUUCUUUGUGGAGUUUCAGAAUUGCUAUGGCGCUGGAUACACCGCCCACAGUUUCGUAGUCAACCAGGUGGUACGAAAACCGUGCAGGUCUCUUGUUGGUAAUAGUGACGGUGCUUCUUCAACCCACUGUUCCUAUAUUGUUAAGCUCAAGGCUGGGGACCAUGUGUCCAUCAAGCAAUACCAAGGUUGUUCCUGGGCAAUCGAUUUUUCUUUCUCCAUUUGCUUCUCUGGGUCUCUGCUGCAGAAGAUUUAAAAAAAGAUGUCAAUAAGAAUUGAGGAUGUGUACACAAUCAACAAAUUUGUUUAAAAAAGUGGCCACUUUUUGUUUUUAAGCACAAUGUUGAGUUUGUGUCACAUUCAAAUGGAUCAUAUAUCUCAUCACAAUGCAUUGUGUGAACAUGAGACAAAGUGAUCAAGAUAACAGAAAUAAAACAAAUUCACUGCAUCAAACCACUGUUAUGUGUGAAAAUGUUGAUCUUAACUUUAGAGUCACAUCACCUAC